UACGUAGGGUGCAAGCGUUGUCCGGAAUUAUUGGGCGUAAAGAGCGUGUAGGCGGCCCGAUUAGUCCGCUGUGAAAGUCCAGGGCUCAACCCUGGAAUGCCGGUGGAUACUGUCGGGCUCGAGUCCGGAAGAGGCGAGUGGAAUUCCUGGUGUAGCGGUGAAAUGCGCAGAUAUCAGGAGGAACACCAAUGGCGAAGGCAGCUCGCUGGGACGUGACUGACGCUGAGACGCGAAAGCGUGGGGAGCAAACAGG
rnacentral:rRNA from 1 species